rnacentral:rRNA from 1 species
UACGUAGGGGGCAAGCGUUGUCCGGAAUCAUUGGGCGUAAAGAGCGCGUAGGCGGCCCGAUAAGUCCGCUGUGAAAGUCAAGGGCUCAACCCUUGAAUGCCGGUGGAUACUGUCGGGCUAGAGUCCGGAAGAGGCGAGUGGAAUUCCUGGUGUAGCGGUGAAAUGCGCAGAUAUCAGGAGGAACACCGAGUGGCGAAGGCAGGUCUCUGGGCAUUAACUGACGCUGAGGAGCGAAAGCAUGGGGAGCGAACAGG